rnacentral:snRNA from 1 species
GCUUUUUAUAAAAGUAUUUAGUUAAAAAAAUUGGAACGACACAGAGAAGAUUAGCAUGGUCCCUGCACAAGGAUGUCAUGCAAAUUCAUGAAGCAUUCUGUAGGAGA